GAUCGCACAACAAUAAUGAAUGGAAACACGUCGUAGCCAAGUUGAGCAGCAACUCAAAGUAACUGUUGGUCGGCAUUUGAAAGUUAUCUAUCGCGAGGGGAAAUCUGUUUAAAGUAAUGGAUUGGCCAGGCAAAUUAGAAACUACUUUAUGGAAGAGAAAGCAGCUGUACUUUGAUUGUUACUUUUGAAAGUAAGUUAUUGAAGGGAAACUACAGUGGGACACACUGUAAACCUUAAACGCGUGAAUAAGUGCAAAUGGCAUUUUGGGACAGUGAUACGAGACUACUGCACGGUCAGCGAUUUAUCUCGGCUUGGGGAAGUGGAUUAUUUGGAUUAAUCCGUUAAUGAAAUUGUUGGAAUAUUUGGAAUAUUUUUUUUUUACUUGGAGUAUCAUCACUGGAAGAAAGCUGAAGGAUUCAAGUUGAGCAGAGCAUACAGCACAUCUGGAGGAAAAUGGGUAAUAUAGAAAGUGUGGAUGGCCAGUCGGAGAUGAAGCAUCACAUCAUGCCACUGAAGGUUCCCAUGCCUGACCCCACCGAGCUGGAGGAGAAAUUUGCCAUUGUUUUGAGUUCUAUGAACCUGCCUCCAGACAAAGCACGCCUCCUCAGACAGUAUGACAAUGAGAAAAAGUGGGACCUGAUCUGCGACCAGGAGAGAUUUCAGGUGAAGAAUCCACCUCACACCUACAUCCAGAAGCUACGAGGAUACUUAGACCCUGGAGUCACACGAAAGAAGUUUCGCAGGCGGGUGCAGGAAUCUACAAAAGUCUUGAGGGAGCUGGAGAUCUCACUAAGGACAAACCACAUUGGGUGGGUCAGGGAGUUCCUGAAUGAUGAGAACAGAGGUCUUGAUGUCCUGGUGGAGUACCUCUCCUUUGCUCAGUGUGCUGUCAUGUUGGAUUUUGAGGGGCUGGAGAAUGGGGAGGAUGGCUUCUUGGACAAGGCUAAAUCUUGGAGUAGGUCCAUAGAAGAUCUGCAUCACACCAGCACCCAACCGUUCUGCAACACACUGGUGCGCUCUGCCCGCCAGUCUGUCCUCCGCUAUGGCACGGUUCCCAACAGCAAAACCAUCAAGAACUCCCGCCUUGUGAGCCAAAAAGAUGAUGUGCAUGUGUGCAUCAUGUGCUUGAGAGCAAUCAUGAAUUAUCAGUAUGGCUUCAAUAUGGUCAUGUCUCACGCACACGCAGUCAAUGAAAUUGCUCUCAGCUUGAACAAUAAGAACUCACGGACGAAAGCCUUGGUCCUUGAGCUGCUGGCUGCCGUCUGUCUAGUCCGAGGAGGUCACGAGAUUAUCCUCUCAGCAUUUGACAACUUCAAAGAGGUGUGUAAGGAGAAGCAACGCUUUGAGAGACUGAUGGAUUACUUCCGCUGUGAAGAGGGAAACAUUGACUACAUGGUUGCUUGCAUGCAGUUCAUCAACAUUGUGGUCCACUCAGUCGAGGACAUGAACUUCAGAGUCCAUCUGCAGUAUGAAUUCACCAAGCUUGGACUGGAUGAUUACCUGGAGAAAUGUAAACAUACGGAGAGUGACAAGCUGUCGGUGCAGAUCCAGGCCUACCUGGAUAACGUGUUUGACGUGGGUGGUCUGCUGGAAGAUGCGGAGACAAAGAAUGCAGCUCUGGAGAAGGUAGAGGAACUGGAGGAGCACCUGUCCCAUGUGACGGAGAAGCUGCUGGAGCUUGAGAAUGAAACAAUGAUGAAAGUAGCUGAUCUGGAGAAGGUGCUCCUUCAGAAAGAUAAGGACCUGCAUGCAAUACGGGAGACAUACGAGUCGACCAACACCCAAGUCACCACCCUGAGGAGGGUGAUCAAGGAGAAGGAUGCCGCUUUCCAGAGGCACUUCAACAUCGAGAGGCGGCUCCUGGAGCUCGAGCAGCAAGGCACCAUCCGUUUGCAUAAGAAGGCUGAUGGAGACAUUGCCAUCGAGCCGCUGGGUGUCGGGGGUGGGGGAGGCGUUGGGAGUAGUGGCCUUGGGAUUCCACUGGGUGACAUGAAGCAGCUGUCUUUGGGUUCAACAGCUGGGUUAACUGAACCAGGGGGACCAGACACUAGUUUACCACCAGCCAGUGAAGCCCCUCCACCUCCUCCACCACCUCCACCGCCUCCUCCUCCUCUUCCCUCUGCCUCAGAUCACAAUGCACCAGUCCCACCACCUCCACCUCCUCUCGCUCCACCUCUGCCAGACGCUUCUCCAUCAGUUAUCCUGAGUGUGGGUCUCUCAGCUAUCAGAAUCAAGAAGCCAAUCAAGACCAAGUUCCGUCUGCCUGUGUUUAACUGGACAGCCUUGAAGCCCAAUCAGAUCAACGGCACAGUCUUCAACGAGAUUGAUGAUGAGCGUGUGCUCGAGGAGCUGGAUCUGGAGAGGUUUGAGGAGCUGUUUAAGACCAGAUCCCAGGGUCCAGUUGUGGAUCUUUCCUGCACAAAGAGCAAAGUAGCCCAGAAGACGGUAAACAAAGUCACUCUUUUGGACGCCAAUCGCUCCAAGAACUUAGCCAUCACACUGCGAAAGGCGAACAAGACUACAGAAGAGAUCUGCAAAGCAAUAGAGAAAUUUGACCUCAAGGCCUUACCCGUCGACUUUGUGGAGUGCCUGAUGCGUUUCUUGCCUACGGAGGGGGAGGUGAAGGUGAUGCGUCAGUAUGAGCGUGAGCGGCGUCCACUGGACCAGCUAGCUGAGGAAGAUCGCUUCAUGUUGUUUUUCAGCAAGAUUGAGAGGCUCACACAGAGAAUGAACAUCAUUACCUUUGUUGGGAACUUUUCUGACAACAUCAACAUGCUUACACCACAGCUCAAUGCAGUCAUUGCUGCUUCUGGCUCAGUGAAAUCCGCACCAAAGUUGAAAAGAGUGCUCGAGAUCAUCCUAGCUUUGGGAAACUACAUGAAUAGCAGCAAGCGAGGCUGCGUUUAUGGCUUCAAAUUACAAAGUCUUGAUCUUCUGCUGGACACUAAGUCUACAGACAGGAAGAUGACGUUGCUCCAUUACAUAGCUCUCAUUUUGAAAGAGAAGUACCCUGAACUGGCCAACUUCUACAAUGAACUGCACUUUGUGGAAAAAGCUGCAGCAGUAUCUCUGGAAAAUGUGCUGCUGGAUGUUCGAGAGCUAGGGAAAGGCAUGGACUUGAUACGGAGAGAGUGCAGUCUCCAUGACCAUUCGGUCCUGAAAGGCUUCGUCCAGACCAGUGACACACAGCUGGACAAGCUGCAGAAGGACGCCAAGACAGCAGAGGAAGCCUUUAACAAUGUGGUGAACUACUUCGGAGAGAGUGCCAAGACGACUCCGCCCUCGGUGUUCUUCCCCGUGUUUGUGCGCUUUAUCAAGGCCUACAAGGAUGCAAUGGAAGAAAACGAACAAAGGAAAAAGCAGGAGGAAGCAAUGAGAGAAAAGUUACUGGCUCAGGAGGCUAAACAGCAUGACCCCAAGGUCCAGGCCCAAAAGAAGAGGCAGCAGCAGGAGGAGCUGAUCGCAGAGCUACGCAAGCGGCAAGCCAAAGACCACCGGCCCAUGUACGAGGGCAAGGAUGGCACUAUUGAGGACAUCAUCACAGUACUGAAGAGCGUGCCCUUCACAGCCCGCACUGCUAAACGUGGCUCACGGUUCUUCUGUGAAGCCAACAUCUGUGACGACGCCAACUGCUAGCCCUCCCCCCCCCCUAAUGCCAAGGUUGUCCAGGUGUCUCUCGUACGCCUCCUGACCCCACUGUGCAUGCAGCAUGAUCCCCAUCUCCCACUCAACCCCAACCUCACCACUACAACUACUGUGAACUAACUUGGGCUGUUAUUUGGUUGUUUGUGUUCUACUUCAGAGGACUUCUAUCAGGCGUCUGGUGAUUGGAGUCAGCCAAACCUCUUUGUCUGAUGCAGAUCUCCAUGGGAAAAAAAGUUGUACAGCGUGUCAACAUAUUUUUGUGUGUUUGGAAAUAUGUUGAUAUACUCAGAGUACAAUCAGCCAUGACUGUGAUUACAUUUUUAAGUGAGCUGCAUGUCACAAGGCUGUGCAUUAUUAUGGCAUAUUUCUUUCAUGAAGCUGAAUUCAACAGUCAUACAGAAAAGAGGUUUGGCUAGUUGACUGGUUUUAUCAACGAUGCCUUGUUCCAUGAAACUAACUUGUUUGGUGUUGGUUUCCGGCUAACAUGUGCCUCUUCUUUCCUCAACCACCACUGUUCAUUCUACCCCCUCCAGCUGAAAAGAAGAUUAAUGACAGUAUUUCCCACUCCUAAGAGAGGAUCUCCGAAACCAGCCUUUCCUGCGAGCUGACGCGUUGAUCCGGAGCGGUUGGAAGAGACCCUAAACCACUUAUUGGUCACUUAUACUCCUCUCCCCACUA